ensembl:snRNA U6 U6 spliceosomal RNA
GUGCUUGCUUCAGCAGCACAUAAAUUGGAAUGAUACAGAAAAAAUUAGCAUGGCUUCUGAACAAGAAUUACAUGCAGAUUAUUGAAGUGUUCCAUAUUUUU